rnacentral:rRNA from 1 species
AUACGGAGGGUGCAAGCGUUACUCGGAAUCACUGGGCGUAAAGCGCGCGCAGGCGGGCUGAUAAGUUGGAUGUGAAAGCCUACGGCUCAACCGUAGAACUGCAUCCAAAACUGUCAGUCUAGAGUCUGAGAGGGGAAGAUGGAAUUAGUUGUGUAGGGGUAAAAUCCGUAGAGAUAACUAGGAAUACCAAAAGCGAAGGCGAUCUUCUGGAACAGUACUGACGCUGAGGCGCGAAAGCGUGGGGAGCAAACAGGAUUAGAUACCCUAGUAGUCC